GGAGAAAAAGAAAGGCGAGGGAUAGAAAGAGAUACCUAAAUGUGUUUUGUGUUUCGGUGAAAUAAAUAUAAUUAUUUUAUGUUAUUAAUAUAAUUUUAUACAAAUUUCAUAUGUUACUUAUAUUUUCUGUUAAUAGUACGGAACGCUCGAGUUAUUAGCUCGAAUCGAAUGGAAUAACCCUGUCUGAUAUUUAUCAUUUCGUUUGUUUUUUAUUAUUUCUCCUUUUUUUUUUUUUUUUGCUACUUAAUAAAAUUAGAUUCAUAUAAAAAAAAUACGCUCCGAAUUUGAGAUAUGUACUACUGUACGUAAACUUGAGAUCACAGAGAUUGUUAUUUGAUAUAUUAAGAUGUCUUCCUUUCUUUUUCGUUUUUUUUUUAUUUCUUUUUUUUUUUUCUUUUUUAUUUUUUUUAAUUAUCACUUAUUAAUUAUUUGGCACGAUUAAUCGACACUGAGAUUGUUAACGAUUCUUACAAUGAAAAUACUGUAAUGAACGACACGAAGAUUGUUAGAGCUUUUUCCAAGCACUUAUUUAUGACUAUAUAUAUUAUGUGAAAUGGAAAAAAGAAGAAGUAUAAGAAGAAAAAAUUAGAAAUAUUAAAACGACGAUGGAACAAUCGGUACAAUAAUUAUCACAGCGUUGUAUCGAGAUUAAUGAUUUAUCGGCGAGUACGACACAAUGAUACCUAUGAAUACAUAAAAAAGAUCUAAGAAAUUGGCAAGAUCGAGAAAUAGAUUGUACGAAACGUUUUCUUCGCAGUAAUAUUAUUAAUAUUAUCGUGCGAAUAAGAAUCGUUGAAAAUAAUACAAUUGACUUAAACAUGAAGGUAUUAAAUAAAAAUCAGACAACGAAACAAAAAAGAAGAAACAACGAUCUUUUCUCGAUAUAUAUGUAUGUAAGAAACAGCGAAGUUAUGUCAGUCUCCGUGCCUCGUGUCGAGUCAAAAUUUCUUAUAAAAGAUCCGCCUGAUGAGAUCCUUCCUUCCGGCCGAUACCAAAGCGAGCGGUGUCUUCCCUUGCUUAUUGUGAAUGUUACUCUGCCCUCCGGCCUGAGUCAAGAGCCAGCACACUUCCUUUUGCCUUUCCAAAGGGACCGAAUACGAAGCAGCGGCAGCCAUAUGCAACGGAGUGUUGUAUUCGUAAUUUGUCGCGUUCACCGUGCUGGAACUAGCUUUACUUAACAACACCUGUUGAAAUAACAACGUUAUUGUCUCUCUCUCUCUCUCUCUUCUCUUAGUCUGUAAUAGUAGUGGUAGUAGUAUAAAUAAGACUCUAUUUUUAUACGCGCUAACGUAAUAGAAUAAAUGGUACAAGCGUAAGGAUGAUAGCUAAGUGUUUAAAUGAUCUCAAGAGGACGAGGAUCAAUUAUAAUAUUAUCAUAUUACGUGUGUGCAUGUAUGCAUAAUUAUCAACAACCAAUGUAAAAGAGGAAGAUACGAAAGUGAUAGAGAUAUGUUUUAUAUUACAUUGAAUUGCGUCCUACACAAUGUUACAAAGUCAAUGAAUACUAUGCAUAUAAAUUAAUUUACAUAUAGUUGUUGAAAUAUAUUAAGAAGAGGAAAAUAAAGUUGAAAAUUGAUUGCUUUUAAAUUACAUUGUUUUGAAAAUAUAAAAUAAGAUAUAAAAUAAUUAAAUUAAGAAGAGAAAAUAGAGAAUCUUUAUACUUUUCUUAUUACUUCUUAUUACUCUUAUUUCGUGUAUCCUCUACCUUACUAAAUAUGGAACUAUAUUAUUUGUAUAUGUGUAUACUAUAUACAUAUAUAUACACAUAUGUAUACCUUGACGAGAGCCGGAUCACAACUGAGCGCGGCAGCCAUGUGCAAGACUGUGUCGCCGCGUUUGGUGUCCUUUAUAUUUAGAUCCGCUCCAUUGUCUAGAAGCAAACGAACCGUGGCUACGGCCUUGGGACCUCUUCCCGUUGGAUCGUGGGACUCUACCGCCGUGUGUAAAGCGGUUCUUCCUUUAAAAAAAAAAAACCAAAAACAAAAAUAAAACGAAUGAGUCCCUCUAAUUGAUUGAUUCUCGGUAAAUAUGUCUACGAUCCAUAUUGAUGACUUUCAAAUCGAUCGUGUAUAUAUAUAUAUAUAUAUAUAUAUAUAUAUAUAUAUAUAUACAUAUAUAUACAAUCGUUCAUUCGAGUAGAUAAAAAUCUUUAGAAUAACGACAACUUUUUUAUGAUUGAAUAGGAUUAUGAUUUAUAGAUAGGAAUAGCUAAUGAUAAUGCUAACCAUCGUAGUUGCAUUUGGAGAGAUCAAAGACAGCGUUCCCUUGACUAGUCUUUAGGGCCAGUAACUCGGCCAAAACUUCGCCAUGUGAGUCUCCUCUCGCUGACACCGAGUGUAUCAAGGUAUCACCCUGUAAAAAUGGAUAAAAAAAAAAAAA